CUCAGUGAAGAGGUCAUCUGCACAUGAUUGCGAGGAGAGGAGGUUUUGAUUGUGUUGACUUCUGCCUUUAGAUGGGCGGGCUAAGAAACUCAUCUGAGCUCUGCGUUCAAUACACACAGUUUAGCACUCUUUUCUGUAAUUUUUAUUCAUGCCUGAUUUUCUGUUUCACAGCCCUAAUUAAAGAACAUUCAGCACAACAGGCUUUCACCUUGGGAUUCAUAUUACCAGACCAACUGGUAUGGCUGGAGUCAUGUAAACCCAGAAGAAAGGCUUGUUGAGUUUUUUCUCACUGACUGUGAUAAGGACUGAUGUGCAGACAAGGAUCCACGAGCCAGCAGAAUGAAGACAAACAGUAAUUUGAUUAGGCUCCAGAGUGCCUGGUGGACCAGCUGGACCAGAUUUGGCUGGAGCCUUGGUGUAAUCAGCACAGAGAUUGAGAUGAGAUUGAAACAAGCAGAACAAAGCCACAACAGCAGUCAAGAUACAACAUAACAAGGAAGAUCUGACUAUCAAUUCAGCACAACAAACUGUUUGGAUGCGGAGACACAUCCAGCAAUGAAAGAAGACAAUCCAGUGUGUGGGACUGCAGCAGGGGCAGAUCAUCACAUGCUCAGUAACCUCCAUAGCAUUUUAAAGUCCUC